UUCUGUCUAGCACUACCUUUUUCUCUUUUCACUUUCAUCCUGACCUACAGAUCAGGAUAAUCUUUAUAUUUUGUAUUACAGUCAGUGGCGUACGUCGGAUUUUGCACAAAAGCAUUAAUAUGGUCUAUUAUCACAAUUUGGCUUGCGUUAUAAUUGAAAUUAAGUUAGAGAUUGUGAUAAUUUGAGUCUUUAGUUACUGUUACAAAUUGAUAUUUACUUUGUAAUAUUCAAAUGCGACGUCAACCUAUUAUUUACAUACAUCCAUAUAUAUUUAUUUUUUGAGAAAAUGUUGUUUAUGCACAUAUAAAAAAAAAUCUUAGCAAAGUGGUGUCGCAUGACACCUCUCCUCCACUUGUUGAGAUCCAAUUCCAAAAGACUACGAAUCUUUUACGAUUCGAAAAUCAAGUCGGAGACUACCACACAUAUACAAGAAAUACCUCAACAAGUGGUGGACAUGGAAGAGAUUGUUUUGCAAAUGCCAUUCGUUUUCCAAGCUAUAAAUAGGAGAAUUCGACCAUAUCUUGCAACGACCUGAGUUGCCUUUGACGUGUAUAGGCUCAUAUCUCAAAGCUAGGGUAAGUUCAAAACACUUCUUCACUACCAAUAUGGUUGUUCUAAUGAGUGCCAGCAAGAAGAAGGUAUCAACUGAUUGCCCCAAGUUUUUGGCUACGGAAGCUAAGUUGGGAUCGUCUAUAUGUAUCUACAGAGGAUGUGAAGGUGAUGACGAUGACGAUGACGAUGAUGAUGAUGCUUCAAAGGUGGCACCAGCUGCAUGAUAUUGUAAUGGUAUUUCCUACAACAACACAUAGUAAUACAUAUACCUAAAGCGAAUUAACAAUGUUGACAUCUAAAAGAGAGAGACAUGUAGUGAAGUGAGUUACGUCUGUAGAGAAGGAAGAGAGCAAUGCAUGAGAGAUAUCUUCUUGUUUUCUACUUACAGUACUAAUUGGGUGGUAAACCUCGUAUGUUGUAAUGAUUUCUUUUUAUAUUCUAUAUUUAUAACUAGGCAAUCAUGAAGGAAGCAAUAUUCCAAAUUUAGUGGAGGCAUCAGGCAUGCUUCGCUUCGGUAGCUAGGCUUUUUUGAACUCAUAUUUAUACUUCGAACUUCAAGACAAUGGCCUAAAGUCUCGCUAUGGCAGUUCAAACUAAGGGCUAUUAGUGUGAAGUUCGAAUUACAAUUUUUAGAGUUCAGAAUUUAAUGUGUCUUUUCUACAUGAUACAACUCUUUGUUAAAAGAUGCAUCCAAUCUUUAGGACACAUCUGCAUGCAACGAUAUAUCCAAUCAUUACAAUAGAAUGCGUCUCUUUAUUUAAAGGUAAGUUAUAUUUCACUCCCUGUAAAAUAUAAAUAUACUCAUUCCAUCUGCAGAAAAAUAAUCACUUGAGAUCUACUCCUUCUGGUUCACCAUCUUUUCACAAUCUUCGAGUGUCCCUUUCUAUCUACUCUAAAUUACUACAUACGCAAUUGAUAGAUUAAAGAGUUACGUAUUCAGAACUUCUAUUUGGAAGUAGAACUUUUUAUUUCCUGGAUAGCACGGAGAUCUACUCCACAGACAGCAUCUUUCCGGAGCGUCCCUCGAAUCAAUUUUCCCUACCCAAAGUUUUAUCUCUUCUUUUAUUUUUAACUAUCAUCUCCUGUUUGUUGAUAAACUGUUCUUCUCAGUGUUUUCAUUUCUUAUAAUUUUCAACAGGAUUAUGAAGUCAUUUGUAAGAGAUGGUUGUUCAUCGUGUUGGACGAAUCUUAAUAUAUCUGAACCGUAGUACUGCGUGCUAUACAUGCUUUAUUUUCAUUUCAAGAAACAAAUACAUGGGCAAGGUAGAAAAAGAUAGGGUUAGGCCAACCAUAAAACUCCUAAAAACAUCAAACUCAAAACAGGAUUGGAAAUAAUAUUGAGUUAUUCCAUUGUACCCAUUGGUACUCAUACAACCAUGAAUUGAAAAGACUGUACCAAAACUCCUAAAAAACAACCCCCGCUUGAACUGAAGUCUUAUAUAUUUGGAUAAGGAGAAGUCAAGAAGCUCCCUAUCCUUCUCAAAUUCAGUCAUUAAUUACUUGUUCCUCUAACGAUACGAUUGCUUCUAUUCCAUCCCCACUUUUACAAUCCAUCAAAACAAAUGAGUUCGGUACAAGUGGCCUCCCCCAAUUAAAGUUCACACUGUACGUCGGGUAGUUACAAAAACGGCUUGUCCAAAAUAUGUCAAAUUCAUUAGCAUUGGAUGGCCUAUUUUGAUGCUUAUCGAAAUUCACUAGUGCUGUCAUCAAUAGCUCAUUCUCUUUAACUCGAUCUUUUCCCCGAGUAUUUCCUGUUGCUUCCUCAACCCUCGAACCAUGCUUCGAAGAUUCAUGUUUUCUCUCGCGGUUAGUGAUGUUUUAUACUUCAAUACCACACAAGAGGGGGUAAUUUGUGUGGUGCCUGAUUUUCGCGUGCACUAGAUUAUCGAAGGACCUGGUUCUUCUACGCGCUCCUUACACUACACUUGCGGAAUACAUAAUACAGAAAGUAAAGAAAACAAGGAUUUUUACGUGAAAAACACCCGGCUCAAAAAGUAAAAAAACACGACCUACUACCUAGUAGGAUUUUUUCCAAACACUUCACUACAACUCUGAGCCAACAACAAAGUUUACAAACUCUUGCAAACCUAAGGACUACCUCUAACCCUUGUAGCAACCAGCCACAGGUUGUUGCGACUACUUCAAGUUAACUCUAACUUGAACAAUACAACUAGAGUUUACAACCUCUUGCAAACCGAAGGAUUAACUCUAACCAUUAUAGCAACACGCCACAGGCUGUUGCAACAACUUCAAGUUGCCUCUAACUUGAAAGAUACAACUCAGGUACCUAGUACAAUUUGCUUCUUAGAAAGCUGAAAGGUACAACUCAAAACGCCUACUACACUUUGUAUUAGAAAUAAAAAAAGACACAUAAAACUCUUUAUGGAACUAGUUCUUCAAUCUGGUUCGUGUAGCUUCAGGAUCGCACUCUUAAACCUCACAGGAAUUGCUCACAAAAUGCCUUGCUAUUUUGCUAUCAAUUUGUGCUUAAUUUCAGUAUGUAUGCAUCACCUGUAAAAGAGAACACAAUUGAUAUAUAUAUAGUUAUUAAAUAAAGAUUAACCAGAAGUCUAAUGCUUUACUCUUCCUUGGUGGAAGAGUUCUAGUUAUCUUCAACUUCUAACUCUUUCCUUAUCUUGGAUAGAGUUCUCUUCAAGUAAGGAGUCCUUCUCCUUAUCAAAUAUGCAACUAUUUCGGUGAGGGAUUACCAUAAAUAACCACUUAUACUUAUCCCUUUCACGUGUAUGCCUUUUGCUUGAUUCUUCCCAUCACAUGUGUACACUGUCCCUGGACCUGGUUCAUGCAUGUGUUCCUUUGUCAAUCAUCAAAACCAAAACUGCUCAGGUCAACAAAUUCCUCCUUUUUGAUAAUGACAAACUCAGUGCUUUUCAUAAGCAUGAAACCUGCUUCAACUCAGCUCAACAUCAACACAAUGUUAGAACAUUUUACCUUUUUAAAGUCCCUUAUCAUCAAGGACCGGGUUCAUUAGGUUAUAAACAUCACAGUCCAAAGUAAAAGCACAAUCUAAUUCCCCAUUUUGGCAUCAUCGAAAAGUUGCAUAAUAAAGGUAAGUAACCAGAUUUUAGCAGAUAUCACUCAUGGCCACUGGGGCUACUUCAAAUACAAUCAUGGAUUCAAUUUUCUAUUUAUCAAUCUAAGGAUAUUAUCCAUCUAAGAAAUAUCAACAAACAACUAGAGCAAAAGCAGUGAAUUCCAUUGAUUGAUAAGAUCAAACCACAAAGCAUAAGAAGAAACAAAAACAUAGAACCAUGAACAAAAGACAAAGAAAUCUCACUUGGGUUACUGGUUACAACUAGGCUAGGAAAGAUUUAGGACUGGGAAGGACCUGGUUCUUGGUUCUUGGCUCGAAGCAGUUUCAGCAUAACUUGAAGAAUACCAUCAUUCUUCUCUUUUUACUUUGCAAGCUCACACUUGAGAUAGUCUCUCUCAGCCUCUACUUCAGCCAACCUAGUCUUCAAUCGUUAAAUCUCAAUAUCCUUAAUCAUUUUCUUCCACUAUUUGAGCCUUCUUUCUCCUUUUAGCAGACCUAGUUCUUUUAGACACAAUUGAACCCUCAGCCUCAGCCUCAGCCUCAGCCUCUGUUUCUCGAGAAUUCUUUUGAGAAGUCUCUCUUUUUGGCACUAGGUGUGGGUAUUUCCACAUCCUCAUAUUCAUCUUCAAGAACCAGGUUCAUCUCCUCAAUCUGGACUACUCCACUUGGCUUACCAGCCCUUUUUAUAAGCGACCUUCUUGGCAUUCUCAGCUAAGGCCUUUUUUACAUUGGCCUCACUCUGCGUCUUACGUCUCCUUGUAGUUCUUCCUCUUGUGAGAGGAGUUGUUACAGGGAUAGAAGGAGCACUCUUUCUCUUAGUGCCACCCAUGCUAUUUCCUGCAGUCUUUCCAACUUUGUUCUUCUUCUUUUUGAUUGUAACUAUCUAACACCUUUUGCAACAGAUCAGGACUCUUGUCUAUUUUAGCAAGAGAAGGAACUGGUUCAUGAAAUUGUUUCCUUAACCUAACCACCCCAUAUGCUGCACUUCUAUCACCAGAACCAUCACCUAUCUCCUGUGAUUCUAUCCCCGUACUUUCAUUCAUAGUCUCUUCAAUAUCACUAAUCUCAUCACUUAAUACAAUCAUUGCUCCAGCUUCUUCAGUCAAACCAACAAGAGUGGGUGAAGGAGAUCUAGCCACUCUUUCAUCUCUUUUUCCCCUCAUAUCUACUUCAACACCCUCACUCUUUUUUUUACCACUAAUUUUUACAGACCUACUAGUUUCUACACCGGUAAUCGAACCAACCAACACAAACCUAUUUUCGAGACUCUCAGCAAUUUCAAAAGAAAUAGCAAAAGUUUUUAAUCUAGAGGUUAGCCGUUCAGUUUCAGAUGAAACUGGUUAUUCCCCCUCAGUCAUAGACAUAAAGGACUCAUCAGAUUGUUAGGGUUCUUCUGCUUGACUGGCUUGUAGCACCUCACUCUAUUUCUUAGCUUAUUCUCUACUUGCCACAGUGUUGCAUGCAAUAAUUUUGAUAUGAUUUUUCUUGGGGGUUUGGGUGGUUGAAAGUGUGGGUGAUGGUUCUUUGGGUGUUGAGGAAGGCAUUUCAUAGUUUUUGGGAUUCUCAUAAGUGUUUUCCAUUUGAUCAGUACAGAAACUUGAGAGAAAUAGAGAGAGUUUUGAGGUUUUGGAAAUUUUAAUCUUUCAAAACAAAUUUGAGAUAAGAGGGUAAGGUCAGAUCAAUUUAAAGAGGGAAAGCUUGAGUGUAUAACAACACCUUUUUAAAGUCUAGAAGUCUAAUCACAUUGGAAUUUUUAGUUCAUGAUCCAUAUGAAGUUAUUUCAAAUUAUACCGAGUGUAGAAUACAUACCUUAUAAUCUCGAUGAACCAGGUUCUUCACUGAAAGUUCUCUUGUGUAGGAAUUAUUUUUUCCAAGAAAAUAAGGAUAAUAUCAUUAGACAUCAAUGAGACAUUUUAGCACAUGGCACAAGAGUAUACAAAUAAAAGCAUGAGACUAAGCAAUAUCUAAUCUAAUUAUUCACAAAAUUCAUAAAUUAUCUAACCAGUCAUUGAGUUUGGAGAAAAUCCUAUUGGGUAGUAGGUCGUGGUUUUUUCACCUUUUGAGCCAGGUGUUUUUCACGUUACUAUCCUUGUGUUCUUUACUUUCUGCAUUAUUUAUUCCGCAACUAUAGUGUAAGGAACGCAUAGAAGAACCAUGUCCUUCGAUAAUUGGUAUCAGAGCGGGUUAUCCUUGAAGAGGCUAAUACCUUAGGAAAGUAUCAAGAUGAGUGCACUACCUGGAAACUGUAAAGAGUAAUCUACCACUAGGCCACCACUAUUCAAUGAUCACUACUAUUCUUUAGGGAAGGAUAGGAGAAGAGAUCACUUGCAGAUGACUGAUGGGUGCUUCAUAUGUGGUAAAAAGAACCACAUGAUCAAGAACUGUCCUACGUGGGAUGUCGACUGGAAGAAGGAGAAAUCUAAAAGAAGGAACAGAAAGAAGGAACAUGUUCAUGACAAGAAGAACUACAACAAAAGGUCAUCCAAAGCAGUGGUUGCUACUUGGAAAGAUAAUUCAGAUGAGGAAACUAAUGAUAAUGCUAAACAAACUCUUAUAGCAAUACGAGAAUCUGAAGAUGAACCUGAUGAAGAAUCUGAGAUAAGUUUUCUGGACUUUAAGGAUAAAAUUAAAAUCCUUUCUAAAGAGAGACUAUCAGAAUUGUUGCUAACUUUAAUUGAUGAAUCUAAGAAUAUAAGUUCUGAAAAAGAACAGUUGUCAAAAGAGUGUAACUUUUUAAAAGGAGAAUGCAAAAACCUUGAAAUAAACGUUUGUAAAACUGAAAAGGAAAAUACUGCUUUGAAGAACCAGGUUCAUGAACUUGAUACAACUGUCUUGGAAAUUAGAUAUGAAAAUAUAAAGUUAAAGUUAGGGAUAGGAAAAGAGAUAGCAAGUGAUAUACAACUCAACCGAGGAUGACUUAAGGAAGUUUAAAGAUGAGCUAUACAAAAAGGAAGAAAAUGUAAGAGUUUUGAAAGAGGACUUAACAAAGGUAAAACAUGAGCUUGAUAGAACAUGUAAAUGGAACAGGUCAUCCAAUGCACUUUCAUUGCUACAAGAACACCCUAGUAGAAACAAAAACGGACUUAGCUUUGGGAACUUUGAAACUGAAUGGGAUCCUAAAAAUAGGUACCUAACACUCCCUAAGAAUAAGAUUUUCACACACUGUGGAAAUACUGGUCACUACAAGAGUGAUUGCACUGCGAAAGAAAAGGUAGAUCAAAAGAACAAAAAAUUUGUUCUAGGGAAAAAUAGGCUGCCAAGUUGGGCUAAAAGGAAUUUGAUUCAUCCUUUUGACUAUACAAAGGGACCAAACUAGUUUGGGUUCCUAAGACUAACCCCUGGUUUCUUUUUCCAGGUCCAAGUGAAGGGGAUCAGUCAAAUAUAGUACAUGGAUAGUGGCUGCUCAAAGUAUAUGACAGAAAGCAAGAACCAGUUCCUUUCACUUAAGGACCUUAAAGGAGGUAAUAUCUCCUUUGGAAAUGGGAAAAAGGUGAGAUCAUUGGGGUUGGAAAGGUAGGUAAGACUGACUUGAUAGAUGGACUGAAGCAUAGUCUAAUAAGUGUAUCAUAAUUGUAUAAUAGAGGUAACAUGGUAGCAUUCACAUCUACCAAAUGCUUUGUGAUUAAUCUUACCACUGACAAGAUAGUUUUGCAGGAAAAAAGAGUGAACAACAUAUAUGUUGUAGAUCUAUCCACACUUUCAGAAAAUGAACCCACUUGCUUAAGUGUGUUGGAUAGUGAUCCCCUCCUUUGGCAUAAGAGACUUGGACAUGUUAGUCUAAGUCAACUCAACAAACUAGUCUCCAAGGACUUGGUGAUAGGACUGCCUAACAUUAAGUCUAAGGAAGAUAUAGUUUGUGACGCUUGUGGAAGAGGGAAGCAUGUAAGAUCUUCUUUCAAAAGUAAGAAAAUGGUGAGUACUACCAGGUCGAUGGAACUGGUCCAUAUGGAUCUGUAUGGACCAAUGAGGACAAUGAGCAGAGAUGGNNNNNNNNNNNNNNNNNNNNNNNNNNNNNNNNNNNNNNNNNNNNNNNNNNNNNNNNNNNNNNNNNNNNNNNNNNNNNNNNNNNNNNNNNNNNNNNNNNNNNNNNNNNNNNNNNNNNNNNNNNNNNNNNNNNNNNNNNNNNNNNNNNNNNNNNNNNNNNNNNNNNNNNNNNNNNNNNNNNNNNNNNNNNNNNNNNNNNNNNNNNNNNNNNNNNNNNNNNNNNNNNNNNNNNNNNNNNNNNNNNNNNNNNNNNNNNNNNNNNNNNNNNNNNNNNNNNNNNNNNNNNNNNNNNNNNNNNNNNNNNNNNNNNNNNNNNNNNNNNNNNNNNNNNNNNNNNNNNNNNNNNNNNNNNNNNNNNNNNNNNNNNNNNNNNNNNNNNNNNNNNNNNNNNNNNNNNNNNNNNNNNNNNNNNNNNNNNNNNNNNNNNNNNNNNNNNNNNNNNNNNNNNNNNNNNNNNNNNNNNNNNNNNNNNNNNNNNNNNNNNNNNNNNNNNNNNNNNNNNNNNNNNNNNNNNNNNNNNNNNNNNNNNNNNNNNNNNNNNNNNNNNNNNNNNNNNNNNNNNNNNNNNNNNNNNNNNNNNNNNNNNNNNNNNNNNNNNNNNNNNNNNNNNNNNNNNNNNNNNNNNNNNNNNNNNNNNNNNNNNNNNNNNNNNNNNNNNNNNNNNNNNNNNNNNNNNNNNNNNNNNNNNNNNNNNNNNNNNNNNNNNNNNNNNNNNNNNNNNNNNNNNNNNNNNNNNNNNNNNNNNNNNNNNNNNNNNNNNNNNNNNNNNNNCAAUAGCUAUCUAAAGGAAGAAGUGUUUGUCAAGCAACCUCUGGGCUUUGAAAGCAAGGAAUGUCUUGAUCAUGUGUGCAAGCUUGAGAAGGAACUUUAUGGGCUCAAGCAGGCUCCAAUAGCAUGGUAUGAAAGUUUAUCAAAAUUUCUUCUUGCGCAUGGAUACAAGAGAGGUAAAAUUAACAAUACUUUGUUCAUGAAAGAAAAAGAUAAAGAUCUGUUAGUAGUUCAGAUAUAUAUUUAUGAUAUAAUCUUUGGAGUAACUACUGAUAAGUUAAGUAAGGAAUUUGCUAAACUAAUGGGGAGUGAAUUUGAAAUUAGUAUGAUGGGUGAGCUUAAUUUAUUUUUAGGCUUACAAAUUAAACAAAAUUCAAAUGUAACUACGGUCCAUCAGCAGAAGUAUGCAAAAGAGUUGCUUUAAAAAGUUUAAAAUAGAAGAUUCUAAAGAAAUUGACACUCCUAUAGCAACAGCCACAAAAUUGGAUGUGGAUGAACCUGGUUCAUCUAUUGAUUAGAAGUUGUAUAGGGGAAUGAUUGGCUCCUUGUUAUAUCUUACUACUAGCAGACAUGACAUUGAUUUUAGUGUAGGACUUUGUGCUAGAUUUCAAGCAAAUCCCAAGGUGUCGCACUUGACUGUUGUCAAGAGGAUCUUGAGAUACCUAAAAGGCACCACUGACCACUGUCUAUGGUAUUCAAAGGCUGUAUCCCCAUAUUUGUGAUAACACUAGUGCAACUAGUAUGACCAGAACCAGUCCAUCACAAAAGAACUAAGAAUAUAGAUGUUGGGCAUCGUUUUCAUAGGGAUAAUUUUGAGAUAUGUUGAUCACUGUGGAAUUUUAGGCUACUGAUAAGGAAAUUGCUGAUUGAGAGCGAAAAUGAAAUACAACAUACAUUUUGCGAAAAAUUUCCUGUCUUCCAAUGGUGGUUGAGCCUGCUAUGUAUAGCUUUACUUAGGUAAACAAGAUCCUAGGAUCAAGCCCCAUUUAAAUGAUAAUAAAAGAUCCAUUGAUGAAUAUGUAACGGCGGUCCAUGAAUGAAAAUAUUCUCUAUAAUGUCUGCCCAUUUAAUCUUAGAGAAUAUUCUUCAUUGAAUGUUAUUCGAUGGAAAAUAUUCGAUCUGUUCCCGUUGACCAUGCUCCCUUCGUGGUUUAUCUGAUGUCAAUGCAGUUGUUGUUCCUGGUACUGGCUGUUACCUGAUUCGUCUUUUACCUGUCUUUGGUUCCACGUGUCAUGCUAUCAUUCGAUCAUUUAUUAUGAACUAAUUUUACCAUGUACAGAUAGCCCCCCUUCUUUCCAUUGACAUAUCUUUAUUUCACCGAGAAGUUGGUGAAGAUUCCUUUCUUGGUGAGAAAUCUCUUGAAAAGUCUAUGACACUUGAAAGGAUGCACGCCUUCUCGCAUUUAAUACCCUGAACAUGUGUUGCCCCACGAUUGAGUAAUAUUUUCACCGAUUUUUUAGGUAAUCAUGGUCAUGAUUUUUGUCGUAUAUAUCUUCACUUCUACUUAUUACUUUACUUCUUUACUUUCAAAAUUAGUUUUUAUAAACCUUUCUUCUUCUCUGCACUUACAAUGCAUUUGCUUAGAAUCUUUUUCAUCUCCUUCAACGCCCUAGCAAAAAGUUUUACUAUAUUUUUACUACCAUGGCUUCGUCUACUGCAUCCUCCAGAAACUCUGGCAUUUUAUUCGGUAGAGGCCCUAAGAGAAAUAAGGACCUUGAUGCCGAUUUUAAGCCUCCCACUAUAAACACCAUAAUACCAAAACACCUUAGUAUUGCUAAUGACUUCCAAGAGAAUGCCCUAUCUGCGUCCCACGGACUUGGGCCGUUAGUAGGUACCCAAAUUGAAUCAUGCUUCUGAAAUGGGCGAGGUAAACCUAUUAUGAAGUCCAUGUUUAUUAUCUCCCAUUUCCAAACGGGAAUUUCUAUUCUCUAAUCCUAACCACCAGGCCUCUAGUGUUCGGCUUUCACCUACUGACAAUUUGGAAACAUAGCCACAAAAUCUGCUACAUUCUUUUUUGUAUCAUUCCACCAUUAGAUCUCCUUAAGAUUAUGAUACAUCUUCGUGGAACCUGGGUUGCAACGACCCGACCGGUCAUUUUGAGCUCUAGAAUGUCAUUCAGUGGUUUGAGAUACUGAGUAGCUUCACUUAAGGUAUUAUGAAUUGUACGCAUGGUCGGAAUUUAAUUUCGGGAAGUUCGAAGUUGAUUUGAAAAGAAAAUUCUAAUUUCGGAAGCCUUAAGUUCGAGGAAUUGACUAAAGUGUGAUUUUUGAGUAGACGACCUUGGAAUCAGAAUUUGAAGGUUCCAACAGGUUCGUAUAAUGAUUUUGGACUUAGGCAUAUGCCCGGGAGCGUUUCAGCGCCUAUUAUGGAAGUUGGCAUUUUUGGAAGAAUUUCCUAAAUUUGGGUUGAAGUGCAUUUCAAUGUUAUUGAUGUCCGUUUGGGAUUCCGAGUCUGGAAAUAGCUCAGUAUGGUGAUUCUGGUAUUGGGAGCGCGUCCGGAUAUGAAUAUGCAGGUCCGUAGGUUAGUUUGGGGUCAUUUGGAGAAAGUUAGAUAUUUGAAGGUUUUUGCGAAGUUUGACCGGGAGUGGACCUUUUGAUAUCAGGGUUGGAUUCUGAUUCUGGAAGUUGGAGUAGGUCCGUAAUGUCGAAAGUGAAUUGUGUGCAAAAUUUGAGGUCAAUCGGACGUGAUUUUAUAGGUUUCGGCAUCGAUUGUAAAAAUUUGAAGUUUCAAAGCUCAUUAAGCUUGAAUUGGGGUGCGAUUCACGAUUCCGAUGAUGUUUGAUAUGAUUUGAGGCUUCGAGCAAGUCCGUGUUAUGUUAUUGGACUGAUUGGUGUGAUUGGAUGGGGUCAUGGGGGCCUCGGGUGGGUUUCGGAUGCUUAACAGAUCGAUUUUUGGACUAAGGAAAAUGCUAAGGCAGCAGGUAUCUGGUGUAACCGCACCUGCGAGGUUUUGGACGUAGGUGCAGGGCCGCAGAAGCGACCAAGAGGGUCGCAGAAGCGGUUCUGGCUGGGGAAGUCUGGGACCGCAGAUGCUGUCGAGUUCCGCAGAACCAAGACUGCACCUGCGCACGAAAAGGCGCAGAAGCGCUGCCAGGCCGCAGAAGCGCUGCCACGCCGCAGAUGCGGGAAAUGUUGGGCUGAGCUUGAACUGCUUCCGCAGGUGCGGAGCCGCAGAAGCGGCUAUUGCACCGCAGGUGCGAGGAUCACUGGGCAGUGAGGUUUUACAAAACGGGGUUUUGGCUCAUUUUCACUUCAUUUCGUCUAUGGGAGCCGAUUUUGGUGCACUUUUGGAGUGCCAUCUUCAUCAACUAUAAUGGGGUAAGUGAUUGCUUCACAUUGUGAGUUAAAUACAUGGUUUUUACAUGGAUUCAAGCAUAAAAAAUUGUAGAAAUUUGGGAUUUUGAAGAAAAACCUAGAAAUUGGUAUUAUUGGAUUUUGAUCACGAAUUUGGGCAUGAAAUUGAGAAUAAAUUAUAUAUUGGAGUUCGUAGUGCUAUGGGUAGUGUUUGUUUUCAAAAAGUUUUGGUAUCGGGCACGUGGGCCCGAGGGUUGCUUUAUCAAUUUUUUAAGGGAAUUGGAAGUUGAUAUAAAUUUAUUAAUUAUGAAUAUUAGAGUAUAUUUUGAUUGGGCUGCAUCUUAAUUGACUAGUUUUGGAUCGGCGGGCAUCGGUUUGAGGUGUCAGAGAGGCUUUGGAGCCGGUUAUGGAAUUUUGGAGCGAGGUAUGUCUCUUGUCUAACUCUGUGAGGGGGAAAUUACUCCUAGUUAUUGUAUAUGGAUGUGCUAUACUUGUUGUGGGGGCUACGUACGCGCGAGGUGACGAGAGCCUGUAGGCUUAGGUUAGGUUCACAUCAUGCUAUUGUCCGAGUAGGCUUAGGUUCACAUCAUGCUAUAGCUGUAUUAUUUUAGCAGUCUCNNNNNNNNNNNNNNNNNNNNNNNNNCACUUGCUGCAUAUUUUUUUGUGCAGGCACAUAUAUGGCUAGAGGCCAUGUGAGAGAAGAGGCGUGUAUUUACAUUUUUUUUUCCUAUCCAAUUUGUUCUCCGGACAACUGCUGUAUUUUAUUUUAUAUUCCUAGUUAAUGCUCAUGCACUUGUGACACCGGAUUUUGAGAUGAUUAUGGAUUGUUCUAUAUUGAAUUUGUUAAAAGUAUUAUUAUUUACUCUGUAAAUCCCCAUUCUUUACUAUUUAAAUUAAAAAAAAAAUAUGAUUUCAAAAUAAUAAAAUGAGAACCCAAUUAAGUAAUUAUUGUUGGCUUUCCUGACAGUGGUGUCCGGCGCCAUCACGACCUUUAUGAAUUUUGGCUCGUGACAUGGGUGAAUAGAAUACCUGGAAUUUCGGUCUUCUGACAUAAUCUGCUCUCUAAGCCCAUCUACGUCUGGAACGCAUAGUCUGCCUCUAUACCUCAAAGUACCAUCAUCUCCCCCUUGUUCAAAAGUCGUAGUCUUGUGUUUGUGAAUCCCUUCCGUCUGCUACAAUAAGUAGGGAUCACUGAACUGUUUUUCCUUCACUUCGGCUAAUAAGGAGGAUUCAACCCUUUUCUGAAAAACAACGCCACCAUCUUCGAAGACCAGAAGUCAAACUCCUAGACUUGCUAAGAAGUGGACUUCCUUUGUCAUCGUUCUCUAGUUUGCUUCAACAUGAGCUAAGCUUCCCAUAGAAUGCCGAUAAAGAGCAUCGGCUACAGGAUUUGCUUUCCCCGGAUGAUAGAGGAUAUAAACAUCGUAAUCCUUGUGCAAUUUGAGCCACCUUCUCUGACGAAGAUCCAAUUCUCUUUGCUUGAAGAUGUACUGGAGACCCUUGUGAUCUAUGAAACUAUCAACAUGCACUCCAUACAAAUAAUGGUGCCAGAUCUUUAGCGCAAAUACCACAACUGCUAACUCAAGAUCACGAGUCGAAUAAUUCUUCUCGUGAGCCUUGAGCAAUCUCGAUACGUAGGCUAUGACUUUACCGUGCUGCAAUAAUACGCACCCAAGACCAACCCCUAAAGCAUCACAAUAAAUAACGAACCCUUCGGUUCCUUCCAGUAGUGUCAAGACUGGAGCUGAAGUCAACUGCUUCUUCACUCCUCAAAACUCUUCUCGCAAGCGUCUGACCACUGAAACUUGACUUUCUUUUGAGUCAGCCUAGUCAAAGGGGACGAGAUAAAGCAAAAUCCCUCUAUGAAAUGCAUGUAAUAGCCUGCUAAACCCAAGGAACUUCUUAUAUUGGAUAAUGAGGUAGGUCUAUGCCAGUUCCUCACUACCUUUAUUAUCUGAAAAUCCACCUUCAAGCCUUCGCCUGAGAUGACAUGGCCCAAAAACGCUACUUAUUUCAACCAGAAUUUACACUUAUGAAAUUUUGCAUAUAGCUUGUGAUCCUACAGUGUCUGCAACAAGAUUCUAAGAUGUUCUACAUGGUCAUUCUAGCUACGGGAAUAAAUCAAGAUGUCGUCAAUAAACACAAUAACGAAAAAAAUCAAGAUAAGGUUUGAAGGCCUUAUUCAUAAGGUCAAUGAAAGUUGUUGGUGCAUUCGUUAAACCAAAUGACAUUACCAAAAAUGUGAAAUGUGCAUAGCGAGUCCUAAAGGCUGUUUUUUGAACAUCAACUAUCUUAACCCUCAACUAAUUGUACCUUGAUAUAAGGUCAAUCUUGGAAUAACAUUGGGCACCCCAAAGUUGAUCGAAUAAAUCAUCUAUUCUAGGAAGAGGGUACUUGUUCUUGAUGGUGACUUUAUUCAACUGACGAUAGUCAAUGCACAUGUGCAAAGACCCAUCCUUCUUUCUGAAGAACAAGACCGGUCCGCCCCAAGGUGAGACACUUGGCCCUAUAAAUCCCUUAUCUAGAAGAUCUUUCAAAUGGAAUUUUAGCUCUUUCAAAUGGAAUUUUAGCUCUUUCAACUCUACUAGAGCCAUCCUAUAAGGCGGAAUAGAUAUCGGCUUAGUGUCGGGGAGUAGAUCAAUUCCAAAGUCAAUCUCUCUAUCAUGAGGGACUUCAGGAAGAUCUUCGGGAAGCACUUCUAGGAACUCAUUUACAAUUGGUACUGACUAGAGUGUGGGAAUCUGAGCAUCUGCAUCCCUAACUCGAACCAGGUAAAAGAUAUACCCUUUAGAGAUUAUAUAUCUGGGUUUAUGAUAGGAAAUAAACCUACCCCUAGGUGCUAUCACAUCACCCUUCCAUUUUGGUUUUAUAACCCACUGUGGCAUAACAAGACUCUAACCAAUCCUUGCCCAUGAUUACAUCGAAGUCUACCAUCUCCAAUUCUACUAAGUUUGCUAUAGUAAGGCGAUGAUAUAUUUUGACUGGACAUCCCCUAUAGAUAUGUCUAGCAAUAACUGAUUCUCCAACUAGAGUGGACACUUCAAAGGGUUCACACAACUUUUCCGGUUCUAUAACAAAUUUCAUAGAAAUAUGGGGUUACAUAAGAUAAGGUGGAUCCCGGAUCCAUAAGAGCAUAAACAUCAAAGGUGAAAACCGUUAGCAUACCUAUGACAACAUCUGCACAAGACUCUGUAUCCUAACAGCCUGCCAGUGCAUAAAAGCUAUUCCAACCACCGCCCGUAUUACCGGACUUUGCUUCACCACGCCCUUGUUGGGCCUGAGAGUUAUGAGGGGCUAUUGAAUUAGUGGACUGCGCUACAUAGCCUCCAUUAUUCUACCUUAGUGAUAGACAUUCCCUCAAGAAGUGGCCCUGCUGACUACCCCCACAGCAACCAUUUGUGCCCGAACGAUACACCACUGGGUGCCUCUUACCACAGUGCAAAUAGGGUAACCAGGGACUCUGUAGCCCAUACUAGCUUGUGACUGUGAGUCUACUGCUCAGAAAUUCUGGUUUUUCUUGUUAUACUUGGACCUUUUAACUGAUGUACAAGCUAAAGAGGCAGUAGGUCCUGAUAUUGGUUUCCUGAAGAAGUGGCGAUUACCACCUCCUUGAGAUUAACCAUGGCAGAAAUUUCCUGCAGACUUAGCUCUCUUACUGAAUUCCAUGUCCUUCUCUCUAUGUAGCCGCUCUUCUUCCUUCAUCCUCUCUUUGUUCCCUUGAACAAAUGCAACUCUUAGUAAUGGUCAUGUCGUUGUUCUGAGUAGCUAUAUUAGCAUCAGCAAACAAGUCAUCUGAAAGCCCCAACACAAACCGCCUAACUCUGGACCUCAUAUCACAAACCAUUUCCGGAGCAUACUUGGCCACAACGACAAACUUGAGGUAGUACUCGUUCACACUCAUCUCAUUCUGUUUGAGUCUCUCUAACUAUAAAGCCUUAUCUUCCAAGACCUCAAUGGGUAGAAAAUGCUCAAGAAAUACGUCUGCAAACUCCUUACAAGUCACAGGAGUCGCAUCCUCCCUCGAAACUCCUCCCAUGUUUCAUACCAAGUGUUAGCAACAUUCUUCAGCAUGUAUGCAGCAAGCUCUACUGCCUUAGUGUCUGUAGCAUGCAUCACUCGAAAUAUAUUCUUAACAUCAUUAAUGAAGUUUUGCGGAUCCUCAACCUUUUUAGACACUGUGAAUAUUGGAGGUUUCAUGUUGAGGAAUUCCUUGGACAUGGAACUACCUGUCUCAUCAACAACACUUGUUCCCUGCCUUUGAGCCUCAGUACAAAUAAUCUGGGUGAGCAACUGGAUAGCUCCCCUGACAUCUAUGUCUUAUGAACUAGGCACUGAGCCUGAUGCAACUCCCUGAGCUGGAGUGUCCUCCUCCUGAGCAGCAUUAGCCGUAGCCCCUAGUUAGUAGUUGAGGCCCUCUUGGUGUACUUUCAUUUUUGCAGACUUUUUUCUAAAAUACGUAAUUCGCACAAGUUAGAAGGAUUCCAGAAAGCAUAGCUCUAACUACACGGUCUAGAGUAUGAAAGAAAUGAAACAUUUCUAGAUGUCUUGGUGGUCAAAUGUUUACACGUGUGGCGCUCUCACACACAUAAAGGUGUCCCCACUGGACACAGCUUCAUAGAUUCACUAGGACUCUUGAACCUAGACUCUAUUACCAAGCUUUGUCACGCCUCGAACCAGGGCCCGAGCGUAGCACGACAUUCGGUGCCUGAUUGCAUGUGAUUGAGCGAACCAACUGCAUGAUGGAUCAACAUGUGGUAUAAUUGUAAGAUGAAUAUAAAUAUGAAACAUACUGAUUUACUAAAGAGUCUAACUCAAUUAUCAUAAAUGCGGAAAGUACUGAAAAGUCUACAAGUAUAAACGAGUAGCCACCAAGGCUAAUACAUAAAAGCCUUCUUACAUCUGACUGACUGGACUAUAGUCUACAAAGCCUCUAAAGAAUACUGAAAUGCUAACUAUUUAACGAGACAAGGUCACUGGCAUACCUUACUAACUGAAAUACUAUAAAGAAUGAAAAAUUGGGAUAAUGCCCCGAAAGACUGGGGCUCACCAAUAGCUGAUACGAGAUGUCCUAGCAAGCUGAAUCGUCAACCUAUAAAUCGUUACCUGGAAUGCGAGAUGCAGGCCUUAGGAAAAAGGGACGUCAGUACAUUUAUAUUGCACUAGUAUGUAAAACAACUAAAAGAAAGAACUAUAAAUAAGUAAAGAUAUGAAUACUCCCUCUUCUGAAUUGUGAGUCACUUGUUUAUCUGAAUAAAUAAACUACGGCCUCAGGCCCAAAAACAGAUGUUCAACGUCAUGAUCUAAAAUUAGGAACUGAGAAUCAUGUUGCAAUACAUGAUACUAAAAUAUUGAAUCAUACUGGGUUACAUGAUACUGGAAUGCUAAAUAGGACUAGACAGGGAAUUGUAUUCACAAUAAAAUGAUUUUUCAUAACUGAGACUUAUCGGAUAUAGAACGAAUUAUGAACCCAUGUCUGCUAGAUAAUAGAAGUUCUACAACUAUUCAUGGAACUAAGGCAUAAUUACUUUCAGAGGAAUUUCGUAAUAGUCAUAAGAAUGAGACGGUGGGAGAAUCAUAAGCAUUCCAAAACAUAGAGAGUUGGCCAUACAUUACACUGUCCCUUUUAAGCAUAUCACAAAAUUCGUCGCCUCUUUCCACGAUAAUCUAUGGCGAUAUAUGUCAAGAGAACUAAUAUUAGCACUAAGGCUCAUGUGUUGGUAACCUAGGAAUUUUAUCAAACACCUUAUGGGCGUAAAGCCUCGUAUGCCUAAUUAAUGGUGUUUCUCACCCAACAUCCCAUUCUCUUGCUCCUAGAUAAAUUCUAAAAUCUUAAAUUGUUAUAAUCAAUAUCAUUCUUCAUCAUCCAUAAGAUAAACAACACCCUUAACCAAUAAUCAACAGUCAAAAUUGUCAUGCCCCGACCUCGGGGAGCGCGACCGGCGCUCAAACGAGAAAACCUAGCCGAGCAAGCCUACUAGAUGCCUUCUACCCAACCUUUCCCAUUAACAAUAUAACAAUCAAUACAAGUGAUAAACAUGAGAAGAGUCAAGUGUUCCACAUUCUUUUUCCAUUACUCAAAGGAUAUUCAUUUACGAUUUCCAAAAUAUUACAAGUUUAUAGAUUUGAUGCGAAACCGGUUUGCCAAAUACCAACACUUUGAGUUCCAUUCCCAAUAUCAAACACUACCCACAACCUAUCUACGAAGCCUCUAAGUAAAACAGAAGUGAAGAAUCGAAGUGCCGGCGACAAGUCCCCAGCUAUACCUCAAAGCACAAUAUACAACGUUAAAUGACAUAAAGCACGGAAUAUAGUACGGCUCACCAAAACCUGUUGAAUAAGGAGUAACUGCUAUCUAGGAUCAAGACCGCUCACUGAUGAACAACUUGCAUCCAUUGCAGAUGCAGCACCCCCGACAAAAGAGAUGUUAGUACAUGUGGAAUAGUACUAGCAUGUAUAGGUAAAUGCCCCCUUUCGAAAUAGAAUGCCAAUAUAAGAAGGGGAAAACUAUGGAGAUGCAGCACCCCCGACAAAAGAGACGUUGGGAGAUCAUUAGCUGUGAUAUACCACCGUGAUUUUAGCAGGGAGUCCGAUCACUGCCCGAUCAGCUAGGCCGUCUCACCCAAAGACAUCAACCAUAAUCACAAUCAUUAUCUAUAUAUCAAUCAUUGUUUCAAUUAUAAUCUUAAACGCAAUCACCACCAUGUGUCCGGCAUGGCGUCCGAUCACGACCCGACCGGCUUGGCCGUCUCACCACAAUGUCGUAUGGAUCCACAUCACCAUUUUCUAGAAAUCAUCUCAUCCUAAUAAAGGAGAAUAUUUUCAUCAGAUCAAUUCCAUCCCAAUAAAGCGGUACAAUCACAAUUCACUCCUACACCGACACGUGUAGUUUCGGGGUUAGGUUAUUCCAACCUACCCUUCCUCAACGACUAACAAUACUCCCAAAAAUAUUUUUGUUUUGCACAAAAGGGAAACAAAAGUACAAAUAUAUUUUAUAUUCACCUCAUAACCGUUCACACAAUAAAUAGCUUCAUUAGUACUUUCAACCAUUCACAAUACCAUUAUUUCAUUGGCUCUCUUGGCCAUACUUAUGAUUCAUCAUUCAUGGCACGUUGGCCGUAUUUCGUAUUCCACAUUUUUCAUUCUUUGACUUUCCAUGAUCAUCAUCACAAACAUCAACACAUAGAAUAUUUCAGAAAUCAUAAUUUUAAGUUCAUCAGUAGUGGAGUCUUUAAACACAUUAGACCCUUUUCCAAAACAUGAAGCACAAUGACUUGUAAUCACAUUACGAGUUAAAAAUCAUAAACGAGUGAAACAUCAUAUUUUUUAAAUACUUCUUCACAAAAGGCAAUACACAAUUUCAACUCUUGAGUACGUAAGAGCUCAAAUCACAGUGAAAAUAUUUAUAAAGGAGAGCAUGGUUAUUUACAAUUUACACACGACUUCAAACCAAAUGCACUAGUUACAACAACCAAGUCCACGUUUUAUAUCUCACUCUUAGUUCUUUCACUUUUAAGCAUAUUUAUGGAUCAUCAUCAAAAAGAGAAUUUGGGAUCAAGGCCUUAAGCAUAAAUAUGAACAAUAGGGGCCUUAGGCGUAUGGAGUUUUCUUUCACAAAUGGGCAUAACAACUUGCAAUUUACACAUGAUUUGAAAUCAUACUAACUCGACAUAUUCAAAACACUAGGAUACAUUCCCGAUGGAGAACACAAAAUGAUAGGAGAAUUUGGUGCACCUUGUUUAGUAUAUAUCUUUCAACAUAAGCUUAUUCAGAAUAGUCAAAUAUAUAAGGAAUAACUAAGAACAUGGGAAUUAGCAACUUGGGUCAACCAUCCUUGAAACUUACGAGAAUAUCAUGGAAUUCAAUUUCAAGAGAGAAGUUUAGCCAUCAUACCUUUCUUGAGCUUUUCUUAAGUCACUACAAUGUCCCAACAUCCUAGCAAUAACAAUCUAUAGGAAAAUAGCAAGAAAUUGGAUAAUAAUUAGAAGGAUUCCCAUGGUGUAACUCUCUUAGUAAUUUUGUCAAACACCUACUAUGCGAAAUAGACUACAAAGUUCCACAAUGGUAACCCCUUCCUCCAUCAACCAAUUCCAACAAGAAACUUAACCAAAAUGGUUUAUUAACCCCACAUACUACAACUUAUUGUCACAUGCAUGUCCUAUUUCCAACCCCACAAUAUACUUGAACUCAUAACCUCUUGCAUGAAAGCUUAGGAGUAGGACUUACCCGGAUAGAUGAUAAUCUAGUGAAUGACUUCCUUGAUUCUUGAAGAUUGGUGCAAGAAUAUGUGAUUGGAAUGCUAUAGUUCCUCCUUCUCUCUCUAAAAUACUCUUACCUCUCUCUAAAAUCAUCAGAGAUUCGUUUCAAAAUGAGCUCCUAAGGAUAUUUAUCAAAAUGGGGCCGGGUUAUAAAAAUAGGAAAAUGGACCCUCUGAACUCAGGUCUGCGAUCGAAGAAUAGACCACAGAACAGAUAUGCAGCCUGCAAAAUGGACCGCGAAAAUGAUGCCCAGAAAUGGGCCGAUCUGCGAUAGCUUUGCGGUCCGCAGACCACUUAUGUGGCUGCAGAGUGGACCACAAAAUCACUCUCCAAAAUAUUUCAUGCCAGAUGUGCAACGGAUGUGAGGAACGUGAAACAACUAUGCGAUCGCAUAAUGGACCGCAGAACAACCUUCAAAAUUCAACAAAUUCUCUGCUCAACUCUGCGAUGAUUAUGCGGCAAGCAAAAUGGUUCUGCGGUCGCAAAACUGACCACAGAAUCGCCUUCUUCCGCAAAAACAUUCCAUCAACUCCUCGGUGCAUUCUUCAAUCCAAAAAAGUAUGUACUGCGACUUUCUACAAUCCUCAAACACAUAAGCCUAGCUCGGCACCACAAAACCUCAAAUUCCUUGGAAAAGUUUAUGGGGCCUUACGUCCUCCCCCGCUUAGGAUCAUUCAUCCUCGAAUGAGGAGUAGAGUAUACCCAAAUCACCCAACAUAAUUCAUCUCUUCCUUCACACAUCGCAAUCCUCCAAAUUUGACUAACUCCCAAAUUUUCCAAAAAUUUUGGCAGAGUCUCCUCUGUAAUUGGACCUAACCACCUUCCAAAGUAACACUAAAACCACCCUAACAACACAUCCAUAUAUAAACAAAGUAUCACAAUAUAUGUUAAUAACACCGAUCUCAACAUUAAGGGCAUUACAUUAACAGAAGUGGUAUUUGGACAUGAACUGCAUAUUUUUUAAAUCGUAACACCCAGAAAGUACCUUUUGAACCACAGUCAUUUGGAUAUACAAACAAGUGAGAAUAUUUUAUUUCCACUACACUCUCGGCCAUCAAGGCAACCUCCUCGACUCACAGACUUAGCCAUAGCACUUGACGGAGGCAAUCUCAACUUCCGGGCUUAUCUAACAAGGAUGACAAUAGGGUACCUCUCAUAAGCCAAUUACCCAUUAACUUUACCUUCAAUAGCUUCGACAAGAACGAUAGUCAAAGGACUCCCAACUACCUUCUUUGACGUAGACACAUGAAGAAUCGGGUGCAUGGAGAACAACGAUGGGGGACAUCCUACGCUUAGCUCGGCCUAUGUGCCUCAAGAUUCUAUAAGUCCCAAUGUGUACCACUCCUACUUUACCUUUAUUAACAAUUCACAUAAUAUCUUGAUGGAGAUAAUAUGGAGAAUAACCCGUUCACUUUCUUCAACUCUAAAUUUCAAUGAUGAACACCCGAAGUGGACCCUUGGCGACCUUCAACCCCCAUCUCCUUCUUAUACUAUGGUGUGACUGAAUUAAUAUGACCAUAGAGUUCAUACCCAAUAUCUUCGAUUAUGGAGUGAUGCUUAUUUUUUAUAAUGUGAGAAACUACAACUCUCUAGAGAUGUACUACAAAUAGGAACAACGAGGUUCGAGUUUGAGCUAGAAUUGUUCAUUAAUCCACCAAGGUGCUAAGCAGGGCAUUUCAGGAGGUUAUAUUCUAAGAGACAUGCGGGUGACCACCAAUAGUGCUGACAUGGUUAAUCAUUGCGAUGACAUCAUAGAUUCAACAAACGAGGCAUAGAGUUACUAGUACACAUUAAUAAUGUGGGAACCAUGUACAUGAUCCUAAGUUGUAUAACAAGUGAGACAUUUUAGACAUGUGAUAUAUGAAAGGCAUGAUCGGGAGGAUAAAACAUUAGCAUCAAUUAUUCUGGGAAGAUGAUGAGUUAUGAAAGUGAUAGUAACAAUUGUUUCACUCCACAUGUGCCUUGUUCUGCAAUUGUAAGCCUUGAAGAGAAAUAGCCAAGUACGUGACACCAGUCGCCUCCUUGAGUGUAGGGAAAAUCAGUUUAGCUCAAAAUAAGAAGAUUCUUGUACCAUGAAUAUGAUAGAGAUAUAAAAUAUAUAUGAAGUUGCAUUACGCCCUCAAAAGUAACUGACACAAGGAAUCUAUGCCACAAGCCCACGAGGUUGAAAAAGAGGUUGAUCACUUGUGAGAUUAUUAUUAUUCUGGUAGCUUACCACUCUCCCAAUAGUUGAUCCUAUACCAGAGGACUAGAGAUACGGUUGGCUUAACCCUGAAACUAAAUAUGUUCAUGAUAAGGGCCUAACAAUAUGAAACAUUUAAUUUCAACCUUUCAUGGGUGAAACCAUGUAUCUAGGACAUCUUAAUAUUGGGAUUAAGGCAUGCAUAAUAUUAAGGAUAGUAAACACUCCGCACAUGACAAUGGCAUAGUAAAGGAUUCUAGAAGCCGAGUGUUUAGAGGUGACGCAACCCAUGAAGAUACAAUGAAGUAAUCAUGGAGGGUUUUGCGAAUGUUCAUAAUGAGUUCUCCAUGGAUUGUUUAUGACUUGAAAGUACUCAUAUGCUACCGGAGGAUGGGAAAACAUGUUAAGCAAAAAUGAUGCUAUGAUAACCCCAAAGGUGCAUUCAACUUAAUGGAGAUCCCCUUAAGAAUCCUAUGAGACAGGGAGUGUUACAGUGAUACAUAGAAGGACGCGAUCUCUCAUGGUUAUCCAACAAAUGUCAGGAAACUAGCACAAUGAAUUCACUAACUAAGGAAAACAGUUAAUACAUAUUGUAGAGGUGUAAAGAGAAAAUGAACAUUUGUUAUGAGCUCGACAUGUUUCUGCUAUAAUAACUCUCAAACUGCAGUAUCAGGCCACGUCAUGAGCAACUACAAUACUAGGAACAAAGUGAGUUACUUCAUGAGGUAUGAUCUAGGUGGAUUGAAAGUUAUACUAAGAUGGGCAGAUAUAAGAUCUUCCUAUGACGAACUUGUGUAAAUCCCAAAUUUCCGAGAAACUUGAUGCGGACAAGUGACCAUUUCAAUUCACAUGUACACAUAUGAUAGGUGUUUAGAUAUGCUCUUAUGUUACUAGACAGUGAAAAGGGUUUAUGAUAAUGCUCACAAAGGGAGUAAAGUGACUGUUCAAACCAUAUGAGUCACCUGCAUAGGAGAAAGAGAGUGGCUCAAGAAAGAUAUCGGCAUAAGGUUGCCUUACAUUAGAUUCGAUACCCUAUAGAUAAACAUUAUGAUAGUGCAUGCACAAGUACAAGUGAGCAGGUGUUAUCCAUUUGAAUUUGAAGGUUAUAUAAGAAAUUCAUCAGGUACAGUCUUUUGUUGAGGAUUUAGGAAAGCAAGUGGGAAGUAUUAACCUAGGGUUAUAACCCAAUUCAAGAAAAUCAUUAUAGAACUCAAUUCCUCAAGAGGUUUUAAAUAAGAGAAUUGUGAUAAAAAGGCUUCACGAAUAAUGUGUCUCGUUCAAAGAGUAGGUACAUGCAAUGUUUUGUGAUUCAGUUUCUUGUUAAGGCCAUAUUUAUGUAGGCUCUUCAAUAUAGAUGCACAUAUACAACAAGGAGAAUUAUGCGGUGUUCAUACAUGGUGAUGUACUAAGGAGUGACUUACUUGGUGACUUUAGGUUGACCGGAAAGUGCCUUAAAGCACGCCCCUCGACUCCACAUCUAUAACAUACAUUAGUACCAUAGUGACAUACCUCUGAAUGACAUCUCCUAUACUUCACGCAACGAGUAUGAGGUCCACUAAACUGACUCGCCCCGCUAACAUGAUAUUUACCCUUAUCCUUCCUCCAAGACCCCAUGAUGGGAUUAACAAUCUCUGUACCAGCUUUUUGUAUGAGCUUAUGGGAUUUCCCAAGCCUACCACCCCUAACACGCUCCUGAGCAUACUCGCAACACGACGUCAAAUGUUCCUUCCCUUAUAUCCGGUGGACCAGGAUGGGUGUACCUAACCUAGGGCAUUUGUUCUUCUUGUGCCCCCUUUUUCCACAUCCAUAACCUAUUUUAAGAGACAUCCAACAUCUCCCCAAGUGACGCUUCUUACAAAUCAAAUAAUCUAGUCAUAGGUACCAACAACUCUCUUUCGUUUCUUAGGUCCUCUCACCAUAUGAUCCGGUGGUGCGGUGACAUUGAUAGGAACAAGGACACUUCCCUUGGAAACAAGUUCUUCCGAUCCCUCCACGGCUCGACACAUUAUCCCAACGAACUCUAGUGCAAUCACUCUGAAAUUCAAUGGCGAGGUCAUACCCUCCUAGUUGCUUCGAACUCGUGGAUUACUCAUCUGGUAAAUGAGACAUGGCGAGGAAAUUAAAUUCCUAUAUUGAGCUCUAUCACACGAUCUGGAGUAUCAAAGAAGGGUGAAAUUCCAAAAUGUCCAAGUAGCCUCCUAAUUAUAAAAGUGGUCGACAACACACCGAUAAGAAGGACUCUACUACACACGGCUCCGAAACAUCCUAGGACACCUUAAAACCUUACGCUCAGAUACCAAGUUUGUCACGCCUUGACCUCGGGGAGCACGACCGACGCUCAAUCGAGAUAAUUUGGUCGUGCAAGCCUGCUAGAUGCCUUCGACCUAACCUUGCCCAUUAACAAUAUAAGAAUCAGUACAAGUGAUAGAUCUGAGAAGAUUCAAGUGUUCCACAUUUCUUUUCCAUUACUCAAAUGAUAUUCAUUUACGAUUUCCAAAAUAUUACAAGUUUCUAGAUAUGAUGAAAAAUAGAUUUGCCAAAUACCAACACUUCUAGUUCCAUUCCCAACACAAGACACCACCCACAACCUGUCUACGGAGGCUCUAAGUACAAUAGAAGUGAAGAAUGAAAGUGCCGGCGACAAGGCCCCGGCUAUACCUCAAAGCACAAUAUACAACGUUAAAUGACAUAAAGCCCGGAACAGAGUAGGGCUCACCAAAACCUACUGAAUAGGGAGUAACUGCUAUCGAGGAUCAAGACCGCUCAAUGAUGAACCACAUGCAUCCGUUGAAGAUGCAGCGCUCCCGGCAAAAGGGACGUUAGUACAUGUGGAAUAGUACUAGUAUAUAUAGCUUAAUGUCCCAUUUCAAAAUAGAACGCCAAUAAAAGAAGGGGGGAAACUAUAGAAACAACAAGUAACAAUCAACAGCAUCCAAAUGCCAAGUUUAAAACUAAACAAUUUUCAAAAUACGGAUAUAAUAUAUAUAUUUUUGGUUGGGAGAUCAUUAGCACCGACAUACCACCGUGAUUUUAGCACAGAGUUUGAUCACAGCCCGAUCGGCUAGACCGUCUCACCUAAAGACAUCAACCAGAAUCACAAUCAUUAACUCAAUCUUAAUCAUUAUCUUUAUUAUUCUGCCUUGCUGAUGGAUAAUACCUCAAGAAAUGGCUCUGCUGACUGCACCCAAAGCAACCAUUUAUGCCUAAAUGACACACCCCUAGGUGCCUUUUACCACACAUGUUGCAAAUAGGGUAAUCAGGGACUUUGUAGCCCACACUAGCCUGUGACUGUGAGUCUGCGGCUCUGAUAUUCCGUUUAUUUUCGCUAAACAUGGACCACUGAACUGGUGCAGUAGUUGAAGAUGGAGCAAGUCCUGAUUUUGGUUUCCUGAAGAACUGGCAAUUACUAAAUCCUUGAGAUCCCCCCAUCGCUGAAAUUUCCUGCAGUCUUAGCUCUCUUGCUGAAUUCCCUGUCGUUCUCUCUCUUUAGCCGCUCUUCUUCCUUCAGCCAGUAUUUUUCCCUUGAACAAGGGCAACCAUAUUAGUAAUGGUCAUGUCAUUGUUCUGAGCAGCUACAUUAGCAUCAGUAAACAAGUCAUCUGAAGGCCCCAACGUAAACCGCCUAACUCUGGCUCUCAUAUCACGUACUAUUUCCUGAGCAUACCUGGCAAGAGAGACGAACUUGAGGUAGUACUCGUUCACACUCAUCUCAUUUUGUUUGAGUCUCUAAAACACUAAAGCCUUAGCUUUCAAGACCUCAAUAAGUAGAUAUGCUCAAGAAAUGCAUUUGCAAACUCCUUCCUAGUCACACCUGUCGCAUCCUCCCCUCGGGACUCUUCCAAUGUUUCAUACCAAGUGUUAGCAACAUCCUUCAGCUGGUACGCAGCAAGCUCUGCUGCCUCAGUGUUUGUAGCAUGCAUCUCUUGAAAUAUAUUCUGAACAUCAUUAUUGAAGUUUUGUGGAUCCCCAACCUUUUUGGAAACUGUGAAAACUGUAGGUUUGAUGUUGAGGAAUUCCCUAGACCUGGAACUACCCAUCUCAUCAACAGCACGUGUUCCCUGCCUUUGAGCCUGAAUAGCAACAAUCUAGGUGAGCAACUAGAUAGCUCCCCUGACAUCAAUGUCUGAAGCACUGGGCACUGCGCCCGAUGCAACUUCCUGGGUAGGAGUGUCAUUAGUCGUAGCCCCUUGGCUAGUAUUUGAGGCCCUCUUAGUGUACGUUCUUUUUGCAUGCAUUUUUCUGAAAUACAUAAUUUGCAUUAGUUAGAAGGAUUCAAGAAAACAUAAUCUCUAACUACAUGAUGUAGAGUAUGAAAGAAAUGAAACAAUCCUAGAUGCCUUGGUGGUCAACUGUUUACAUAUGUGGCACACUCACACACAUAAAAGUGACCCCAUUAGACACGGAUUCAUAGACUCCCUAGGACUCUUGAACCUAGGCUCUUAUACCAAGCUUUGUCACGCCCCGAAUCAUCACUUGGGCAUAACACGUCACUUGGUGCCUGACUGAAUAUGACCGAGCGAACUAACUAGAUGGCUGGAUCAACAAGUGGUAUAAUUUUAUGCUGAAUAUAAACAUGCAACAUGCUGAUUUACUAAAGAGUCUGACUGAAAUAUCAUAAGUGCAGAAAGUACUCAAAAUUAUGAAGGAAGAAAACUAACUACCUUGUUAUCCAUAUCCAUGUAAAUACCAAAUUGGAAAAAAUAUGAAGGAAAAACAAACGAAGAUUAAGACUCACUAACAGUUGUAGCAGCGAUGAAGAGAGGAAUGAAGAUAGUGAAAAUACAAAAUCAAUAUCACAUAAAUAGUGCUAGAAAUAAGAGAGAAAAAUUAAAGCACAAAAGCCAGAGAAGAAGAUGCUCACAAAAAAACACAUAUAGGAGGCGACGUAGGCAGAAUUAAGUGGAAUUUGUCAUUAUUAAGGGUUAGGCAAGAGUUUUAAUUUAAUAGUGAUGACUGAUGACCAUUGGACUUAUUUUAUGUCUAUAAAUAUUGAUUAUAGUUUACUGAUAAGGAGUUUAGAGUACGUUAGAUUUUCAUUGUAACCUCAGAUAUUAAUAUUGGAUAGAUCCUGUUACUUCUCAUUUUCAUUUGACUAUACAAAGUUCUUGCUAUAUUAGUAUUAUUAACUUAAAAGCCUCAUUAACUUCGAUUGUUUCUUGGUGAUGUUUAAAUGAAUCUUCCGCUUAUCCAAUCUUCUUCUUAAAGUUUGAAUAUGUUAUGUUCAAUUUGUCAUUUUGUUGAUAGGUUGGAUUAUCCUCUUGCCUAAGUAUUUCGCACAUGACUAAGUCUGAAUGUAUCAUUGCUUUGGCUUAAGAUUUUGUUUCGGUCGCAAUUACAUUUGAUCUUUUGUUAGGUAAUUUAGCAAAUAGUAGUUCUUCCUUUUUCCAUGGCUAAGUUUCCUUUCACACGGUUUUUGACUUGUAUAAGCUUAUUUGCAUUGUAAUGACCUUCAGUUUUAAGAUUGUGUCCAUUAUUUCAUAAAAAACUUAUAAAGGUUGUCUGACACAAAUUACAUCCCGAUAAAGGUAUGAAAAUGAUGUUAAAUCAUGUAUUUUCUUGGGUCUUAUAUAGCGGUUCCAUAUAAGUUAAAAUUUACAACACUCUUUUCUAAUGAAAUACAGAAAAUCUAUAUGCUUUGUAUAUGCUGUAUAAUUUUAAACUAGAAGGACACCAGACAUUUACAGGACUCUAUUGAGAAAUGAGGCUGGUAAUGUGAAGUGAUUAAGUUUCCGCUUUGAGGAAAGCUCUUCUCAACCUCAACGGGUUUCACUUUUCAGGAUAAGGAUAUGUGAUGUAUCUUAAGAAUGGAUUGGUGGACUUUAAAACCUUUAGAUGGCAUCACUUGACAAUUAUGUGAAGUUCAUAGCAAAAAGUUUGGAAAAUGAAAUGUGUGCCUAAAUAAGAUAUGGAGGGAGACUGUAUAUUUGUGAGCUUAUACAAACGUAUGUGGGCUUAUUGUUAAACAUAGUCAUAAUUUUUUCAGUCUAUCUGUCUAUUUAUUAAAUAAAUAUCAUUUCUUUUAAUUUAAUCAAUAUGUAUGGUCUUGGAUCAUUAAUAAUAAUACAUUGCCAUUUUCACGACUUAAACUACUUAUUUGAUAUAUUUAAACUACUUCUCAAUUUGUAUUUAACUUAAAAAAUGACUGUGAUGGAGGAACUGUUCAAUAAGGCUGAAUGCCUUUUUGACCUCUGUUUAUACUUUAUAAUAUGGUGGGAUUUAUCAUGAGAAGGUGCAUUUAUGGAUUUUUUUGGUCAAGAUUUAUGGAGAUUAAAGAUAUAUAAAUGCAGAAGGAAAAUGCAUCACCCAUUACAUGCAUUUAAUAGCUUUAAAGAUUUAAUGUAAAUGGAACGUUUCAUAGUAAUCUCAUUCUUUGUUAAAAUGCUCAUAUUUCCUAUUGCCAAGGCUAAAUACUCCGUAUUGAGGAUAUUAACCAAUUCAUUUUUUUUCCAAAGAUAACUUAAUACUAUAAGAUUAAAUAUUCUUCCUUAAGUAUUGUCUAUGAAGAAUGAAAAGACAUCUCCUUUGGCAGGCGUGGACCUACAUAACGGCAAUGAGGAUUAUUGUAAGGCAGGGUACUUAGGACCAUAUUUUAAUAGGUUGCCUAGAAGUAGGAACAUUUGCAUGCCCUCAUACAUAGAUUGUGUCAUGUACGGUGCUUGAAGGACCAAAAUUGCACUCAUAGAUAACAUUGAAAAAAAAUUGUGAUUUUAUCAAUUUAUAGAAAUUAUUUAUGUUUGGCUACUUAUGAUAUUUUUAUCUUUCCUAUUUUAGCUAAAUUCAUUAAAACACAAUUUAAUAAUAUUUUUAAUGUGGUCCAAUUAAAAUUUUCAUCUCCAAAAGUGAAAUUGUUAGUAGUUCCCUUCAAUUUAAAAUAGCUGUACUUUGCUUUUUACUUAUUAAUAUUUGCCAUAUGUUCCUAACGUGGUUGCAACUUGCAACAUCAAAAAACAGAGAAGUAACGCCCUUUCAUUUUGAUAGAGCACCAUUCUCAUUCAAGUUUUUACCCUCCAAUGUUUCAUUCCUUUUGGACAUAUCAAAUCUAUAUGAGGAGAGAUCUCAAACGAACAAAAAAUAGUCGCAGUUUGAAGUGAUUGUGAUAACGACAGACGGUAGACAUGCAGUGGUAAUGGUUUCUCCCCACAAAGAUUUGUGUAUAUUCGUGGAUUUUACAUGUAUGUCAUAAUAAGAUUUCUAUAUUUCAUGAAUAGAAAAAAAAUACGUAUUCACUUUAAUUUUUUUUAUAUAUAAAGAUAAAAAAGUGUGUACCCGUGUCAAGCAACUAAAAGAGUAAAUUGUGAAUAGCUUAUGCCAAGAAAAUAAAAAGAAAUUUCUCUUCUUUAUCUUUCUCCUUUCUUUUGUGAAACCCAACAUGAUAUAAAAUAACAAGGUAAACAAUUAGGUAUAUAUAACCUAUUUUUAUUAUUUUUAAUAUUCGAAUAUUAGAAGAUCAUUUCAUAAAGAAGUUUUUCUUAAACCGCGCGAAGUGCGGCAAGUUCACUAGUUAAAUUAUAGAUUUGUAUAAAUUGACGAUCUUAAAUUAACUUAACAUUGUAAGUCUAUCACUCUGUAAGGAUCCCAUCACCUCACGAAGAAUUAACAAUCUAAUUCAAAUAUUUCAGGCCCCCUCUUUAGUUCUUCUUUUUCUUAAUUCUAUUGCGCUUCUUGAUUUUUAACCUUUAGCACUGUUAUUUCAAAGCUGGAAAAUCAUCUGAAGUUGUGCACAAGACAAUUUGGUAAAAGAUCUCCUCAUGCUUAUGCAUAAGGCCUUCUAAUGAAUAUAUGGCUGAUUAGCUCUUCUGUCUAGCACUACCUUUUUCUCUUUUCACUUUUAUCCUGACCUACAGAUCAAGAUAAUCUUUAUAUUUUGUAUUACAAUCAGUGGCGUACGUCGGAUUUUGCACAAAAGCAUUAAUAUGGUCUAUUAUCACAAUUUGGCUUGCGUUAUAAUUGAAAUUGAGUUAGAGAUUGUGAUAAUUUGAGUCUUUAGUUACUGUUACAAAUUGAUAUUUACUUUGUAAUAUUCUCAUGCGACGUCAACCUAUUAUUUACAUACAUCCAUACAUAUUUAUUUUUUGAGAAAAUAUUAUUUAUGCACAUAUAAAAGAAAAAUUUUAGCAAAGUGGUGUUGCAUGACACCCCUGAUAUCCUCCACUUGUUGAGAUCCAAUUCCAAAAGACUACGUAUCUCUUACGAUUUGAAAAUCAAGUCGGAGACCACCACACAUAUACAUGAAAUACCUCAACAAGUAGUGGACAUGGAAGAGAUUGUUUUGCAAAUGCCAUUCGUUUUCCAAGCUAUAAAUAGGAUAAUUCGACCAUAUCUUGCAACGACUUGAGUUGGCUUUGACGUGUAUAGGCUCAUAUCUCAAAGCAAGGGUAAGUUCAAAACACUCCUUCACUACCAAUAUGGUUGUUCUAAUGAGUGCCAGCAAGAAGAAGGUAUCAAUUGGUUUCCCCAAGGUUUUGGCUACGGAAGCUAAGUUGGGAUCGAUAAUAUGUAUCUACAGAGGAUGUGAAGGCGAUGACAAUGACGAUGAUGAUGAUGAUGCUUCAAAGGUGGCACCAGCUGCAUGAUAUUAUAAUAGUAUUUCCUACAACAACACAUAGUAAUACAUAUAGCUAGCUAGGUUCCCAUGUUUCUUUGCUGCAGAUGUUGCUCUAAAGUGAAUUAACAAUGUUGACAUCUAAAAGAGAGAGACAUGUAGUGAAGUGAGUUACGUCUGUAGAGAAGGAAGAGAGCAAUGCAUGAGAGAUAUCUUCUUGUUUUCAACUUACAGUAAUAUAUCUGUG
rnacentral:lncRNA from 1 species